CAGUAAAACUCACCUCCCCCUCCCCCUCCACCUCCAGCUCCUCCGGGCACAGAAGAAAACGAAAAGCCAGCAAUGGAUCCUCGUUAUUGUGAAGAAAGGCUGAGAGAUGAGGUAAUCUACCUUCACUCUCUGUGGCACCAAGGCCCUCCACCAAGACCCACACCCACACCCACACCUCCACCUUUGGAUCACACUCCGACCCCCACUUUCUAUUACCAACAACAACACACUCCAACUCCAACUCUUCCUAUUCCUAAUGCAAACCCCACUCCCCAUUAUCCAUUGUAUCACCAUCAACACUAUUACCACCAACCCCCUCCUAUCCCACAACCACAACCACAACCACAACAACAACGCUUGUUCACCCAAACAGGAAAGAGAUUCAGAGAGUCCGACCCGCCUCCUGAUUCGGGUCCCGAAUGGGCAUGCCUCAAAGACCCACCUCCCCAAACUUCAUCUGGGUCUGCUUGGCCUCCCAUGAAGAAGCGCACACUGCCAACAGCAACAACAACAGCGACAACGACAACAACUCAACCCUUAUCGGCCGAAAGCCAGGCCUAUCAAAUUCAGCACAAGGCUUUCCAACCUUGCCGUGCAUUUCUCCUUGUCAAGGAUGAAGAUGGAGAUGAAGCUAGCCAAGAUGGGAGUUCUUCAUCUUCGGAAAAUGAACAAGUUGAUGAAGAGGAAGAAGAAGAAGACGACGAAUUGAGUUUCUUUUUUAAGUUGUUUUCGGAGGACAGUGAGUUGAGGGGUUACUAUUUGAAAAACCGUGAUAAUGGAGAUUUUUAUUGUCUUGUUUGUGGUGCAAUAGGAAAGAAGGCGUGGAAAAAAUUCAAGGGUUGUGUUAGCCUUCUUCACCAUUCCACUUCUAUUUUGAAGACUAAGAGAAAACAGGCUCAUAGGGCUUUUGCUCAGGUUGUUUGUAAGCUUCUUGGUUGGGAUUUUCAUCGGAUUCCCAAUAUUGUCUUCAAACCUCAGCCUCUGCAGCUCCAGGGUGGCCCUGAGGGAAUUGCUAAUGAUAGUAAGGAUGACUCUGAUGAUGUUAAAAAGGAUAAUGCAGCAGCCUCUGUCAAUGGUAUUGAACAAUUUGACAAUUCAAUCUCCGUUGUCACUGUCAGUAAUGGUGAAAAUCCAAACCCCAAUCAUCCCAAACACAUUCCAACUUCUAUUCCUAAUCCAAACUCCAGUCCCCAUUAUCCAUUGCAUCACCAUCACCACCUAGCCCCAGUCCCACAAUCUCAACCCCAACCCCCCACCCAAACAAGAAAGAGAGUUGGAGAGUCUGACCCGCCACUGGAUUCAGGUCCCGAGUGUCCUUGCCCCCAAGACCCGCCUCCUGAAACAUCAUCUGGUUGGCAUUCCAUGAAGAAACCUGUUUCCACUCUUCAACCCUUAUCGGCUGAAGACCAAUCCGGCCAAAUGCAGUACAAGGCAUUACAACACUGCCGUGAAUUUCUCCUCGCCAGAAAUGAAGACGAAGAUAAAACUAGCGAAGAUGGGAAUUCUGAAGAAGAUGAAGAAGAAUUGCGCUUCUUUCUGGAGUUGUUUUCACAGGACAGGGAGUUGAGGAGUUACUAUGAGAAGUGCUAUGAAAGUGGGGAUUUUUAUUGUCUUGUUUGUUGUGGAACAGGGAAGACGGUGUGGAAAAAGUUCAAGGGUUGUGUUGGCCUUCUUCAGCAUUCCACAUCUAUUUUGAAGACUAAGAGAAAGCAUGCUCAUAGGGCUUUUGCUCAGGUUAUUUGUAAGGUUCUAGGUUGGGAUCUUCAUCGGCUUCCCACUAGGUUGGGUUCUUCAUCGGCUUCCCACUAUUGUGUUGGCCUUCCACAGCUCCAGGGUGGCCCUCUGGAAAUUGCUGAUGAUAGUAAAGAUGAUGAUGAUGUUGUUAAAAAGGUUAAUGCAGCUGCCUGUGUGAAUGGCAAUAUUGGUGAAACUAAUGCCGUUUCUGUUGCUGCUAGUAGUGGUGAAGUCGCAGCAGCCUCUGUCAAUGGUAUUGAACAACUUGAAAAUUCAACCUCUGUCAUCACUGUCAGUAAUGGUGAAAAAGCAUUUUCUAUUAAUGGUAAUAGUAAUAGUGGUGAAAAUAUGGUCUCUGUUGAUGGUGAUCACAGCGAUGCAAUUGGUAAAGAAGGUUUUUGAGGUUCAUCAGUAUAGUGUUGUCAAUUAAUGAAUCCUUUUACGAAGACUGAUAUCAAUGAACAGAUUUGUCAUCUAUAAACAAAACAAAACAGAUUUGUCAGAAAAAGAACAUGAUAGCAGCAAGCACUCUGAAAAUCUUGAGAAGGAAAUGUCAUCUACAGGACGGAAUGAAGAGGGGGUUAGUUAUAUGCGGGAGUCAUGUUUUGAAAGAGUUAUUCCCAUACUUGUGCUUAAUUGGAAUGGAUAGGGAAGCUUCAUAUGGGAUAGAUAUAUUGGCCAUGUUAUUAGGUAUGGUAAAAGAGUAUGAUUCUAGCAUGCGGUAUGGUGCAAGGCUCACUCUUUUGAAAAAACUAUUCCCAGUCUUGCAUUUAAUUGCAAUUGAAACGGGGCUUCAGUACACCCUUGCUAAGGACCACUUAAUGAAAGAUCUAUGAGAGCAACAGCUUUUAAAGAUUACUAAUUGGAGUAGUUGACUCUAUGUUUGACAUGUUAUUCUCCGAACUUCUCGAAUGGUGAGGCUGAGGUUCCAAUGGUAGGCAAUUUCCUUGGAAUGGUAUAUGGUGCACAAUGGUUGUGUUCGAUGCAAAAUUUGAGCUUUGCAUGUGAGUUUUAUUUAUUAAAUGUGUUUAAAUGUGAAUUUGGUAGCGUCAUAAAGGAUUUUUCAUUUUUAAAAAAAAAACCUUGUAUCUGAAUUGAAUAUUCAUUGAUGAAGUGGAAGUUGAUCCAUAA